rnacentral:snoRNA from 1 species
GUUUUCAAAUGAUGAUAUAAUUUGCGAUUGAGAGCAAGGCAUCCUGAAGCAUGCCUAGCUUCAAUACGGGAUACUUGUGGAAUGCGAUAACUUUAUUUAUCUGACAAUUAA